UUUGGGAGUAUUUACUUAUUUUCCAAAAUGUGAUUCUUUCCAUUGACUGGAAAGUGGUUACAAUCUUUAUUUGUUGUUAGCAUGAAAGGGAGAAGGUUUCCUUUUGAUUGGUGUGAGAUGUGUGCUCCCAAAUGUUUAUUGCAAACCUAGAUAGGCCUCGUUGGGCUGAAUAUUAUAUAGGUCUGGUUUUAAUUUGGCCAUUAUAUUUUCCCUAUUUCUGUACGGGGGCAACGCAUGUCUCAUCAUGGAUGUUUACUGUUCUUUUAAAUUACUUUCAAAAGCUAUUAUAUUAUGUUUUGGUGUUUAGAGAAAGUGAUGUUGAGAAUCUUAUAUAAGAUUGUUGGAUUUACGCGGUGUAUAUGGUUCUGCACUGUGUAAGCACUUCGGUCGGAUAUAAUGUUGUUACCAUUUGUUUCCUUUGAAUACUUGAUAUGUAGUGUGCGCGUAGAAUAAGGUACUGGUACGGACGUAAGGUACAUAUAGCUUAUGACUUGAGGACGGAAACCUCGUGGGUGAUUUAAUGAUCAUUGAAGAAUCUGCAACAGUCAUGCCUUGCUACUCCGAAGGAAGACGUCAACUACUAUUUAUGUUGUGAAUGUGUGCCGGUUUAUUGUUUCAGAGACAGAUCAAGUUGUGCAUGUGGCGAUGAAAGCUUUGAGGAGUUGGUUUCGUUAGUUGGGUAGCUUCCGCUAUGUUUAUUUUGUGUUUAUAUUCUAUUUGUAAAUCAACUCACUAUUAAAUAUGUAACACUCGAGAGGAGUUCUUGUAUUUAUUUCAGAGAGGGCUUAGAUUCAGGUUAA